UCCCGUGCCUGGCCGCGGGUCUGCGGCUUCCCAGGGCGGGCCGGAGCUUAUCUCCCUUUGGGCAACAUGCCACUCUCUUGGCGCCUUCGUGUGGGAACCAUGACUCUGCCAGCAGCCGCGCCUUGCAGAAGAGAGCGUUCCGUGCCCGCGCAUCUUUCUCUCACAUUCUCGCUUUUUACCUCUAAAGCGAGAGAAUGAUGCCAUCCUACCCAUGACCUCUCUACUCGUCCCUGUAAUUAAUGUCCCCCUUCAGCCCCCAGCACGUCUCCAGUCUCCAUCAUCACCGAACCAGAGCUGGAGAUGGGAGAAAACCUGCUGCUGCAGAGCCCAGAAGGACAGCGGCUAUGAGGACAUGUAGGUUUCCCUCCAUCUACUGCAAACACCACCUCCGGCCAGGGGCACUCACCUUCAGGACUUUCUUAAUGCCAUUGAUGGUGGAGGUCAGCAAGGAGUGCACCUUGAGGUCGUCGUUGACAUAAUCGGCGUGCCUGAUGCACAUGUAGAGGAUGCAGGUGCCUACUUGGCUGGCACACAGCAGGAAGGCAGGCGUGUUGAAGCCAGAUGGAGAGGGGUCAGGAGGGACAGAGCUGCUGUGACUGGCAUACCAGGCCUGAGGCUGGCGGUGGGUGAGCUUUUCUACCAGCUCCUUAAGGUCCUAAAAUCCGAAAGCAGCAGUGUGAGGUGGCCACCAACCUCGGUCAGGGCAUACACCCUUGCUGACCGAUGGCCUCUAGAUUCUCUAUUCCUGCAACAGGGCCAAGGACACAGCCCUGGCCCUUGUCGCUGAAGGCCUUCUCCGCACCACCCCCCUUUCCAGAGCAGGAGCCAGAGCAGGGCCUGCGGGCGCCCUCACUCACCAGGUUCUCGUUGGUGAGCCGGGAGAGCUCCUGCUGGACGCCGAACUCCACCUGGGCCUCCGGGGAGAGCAGCAGCGUCUGGCAGAAGGUCUGCUGCUGCUUGUCCAGCUCCUCCUUGAGGCCUUCCACCUGGGCCCGGAGCCCCUCCACUGCCUCCUCAUGCUCGCGGCUCUGGGCCUGCAGCUGGGCCUCCAGCAACCUGCCCCGGGGAGACGAGGGCGGGUGACCCCGGGGCGCAGGGGAGCGCCCUACGCGAGGGGCCGCAGACAGACACGCAACAGAGGAGCAGCCAAGCACACGGCGGCAGCAGGUGCACAGACCAACAGGGAAGGAUGCUGAGGGGAACAGGCUGGCAAGUGGGCCAGCCUGUCCUCUUCAAGGAUGGGAACUCGGGGCCACACACACACACCCCUGGUCUUAGGCCUUUUUCCUAGACCUCCCCGCCCCCCCCCCGCCACCACUGCCAUUCCCUGUUCCUUAUUCUGUGCAGUCUCUUCGUUUGGGAUCGAGAGACUGUCUCCAUGUCAAAAUGUCACCAGUGGAAAUAAAUUUCUUAUAGCACCAUUGACAUAAACAUUAUCUCCAUCUGCCCAUAGCCUGCGAGAAUCUCCUCGUUAAGACAAAACCCUAGUAGACUGAGAUACUUCUAUCACCUGCAUAUUUCCCCUAUUGUAGAUGAUCGGCAAGUUUUAUAAAGGCAACACAUUAGCCCCCUUCCUUAUUAUCUUCACCACCACACCCACUUUACCUGUGGAUGUAAAUAUACCAUUUCCUCUCUAGUCAAAACAAAAAUUAAGACUGUUUGCAAACCAUCUGGGGAAAGGUUUAAGCUCAGCUGGUGUCAUGAGCAGAAAGACCUAGAGAAGAUCUGAGGAAAGUUGGAGAGAAGUCUCAGAAGACUCUGAGUCUAAAAGUCACCUGCACCAUCCUGGGAGACACCUGUCCCAUCAUAAGAGAAGGCAAGGGGUUAGAGAAGCUUCCGAAGCUGCCUUCUGCUCAGGAAGUGCUAAUAUGAACUAGGUGCUACCUUCUUGGAUUCAAGACCAAACUUUCUGACUCAGGGCAGUCAGCAAUCACAUGAGAGGAAGAGAGGAGGUUCUGGAUGAAAGGUAUAUCCAAAAGCGGUCUGGCACGGUCCACAUGUUGGAAAUCCACCCCGGUCUUUUCCAGGGAUGCAAAGAUUGUGACCAGAGCUUAGCAGUCAGGAACUGGAAGUGCCUCAGAAAUGCCAGUAAGAGUCCCCAGCUGCCCUGGAGGCAGGGAGGCAGAGAGAGACGGUUUUUAGUUUCGCUAGUUUGGCUGCAAGACAGGAGGGAGCAAGUCUCCAAAAGAGCGAGAGACAGGAAGUGGGUGGUCCGCUCCCCCGUGGAUGUGCGCAGGUCUUCUAUAGCUGCCGGCUCCGCUGUGACAUCGUGUGUGACGCCUGGCUCCCAGGGGCUUCUCGACGCUCAUACACAAGAAUGAAGAAACAAUGGAGAAAUGGCUGAUUCACCCAUUCAACACAGGCAGUGUCACCAAUUGAAAGAGCCACACGGACAUGUGGAUUGUGGAGGAGAGUUCUACAAUUAAAUCAGCAUUUUAGAGGACAUACGAUAGUCACAGAAUAUCCGAUCUCAGCUACAAUACACUAAAAGCAUCACCAGUAAGUUAUAAACCUACUGAGAGAAAAUAGAAAUACCUAGGUUCUAGGGACUCUACCCCAAGGGUCAGUUCCUGGUUUGUGCUGUGAGUUUGUAGCCACAUCUUUCUUAUCUUCCACAGAGACUACAGUUGGGUGGCUUAGCCCAGGGUUGUGCGCAAGGUCCCAGAAUCCCUGUCCAAGCAUCAGGCUAGACGCCUCAUCUAACUGAGGUCAAGGGUUCUGAUGCCACAGCCAGUGACACAGCUGGUUCUAGAAGCCAGGACUCCUGAUGGAUAGGUCUACGCUUUCAGUUUUGUUAAUGCAUGCAUGUACUUACUUAUCAGAAAAACACCUAAUCUAGAGAGCCCCAAGGAGUCACCUGGUUUUACACAUAGGCUCCUGCUCUAAUAAACUAAACUUCUCGGUGGGACAGAACUUGUUGAAUAAUAGCCAUUAUAACAGAAGUAUCAGCUUCUGUUAUACGCCAGGCACAUGCAAAAUGCUUCACCUGUGUUAACUCUACUCCUUAUAACGACUCCAUGAGGCAGGUCCUCUUCUGAUCCCCAUGAGACCAGCAAGGUAAGAGACAGAGGACACCUUGCUGCCAGGCAGUGGGGCCGAGGGAGACACACUGCCUCGAGAACCAGUUGACCUGGACUUUCUAUUCCCAACAACAAAUGCUCUUAUUGCUGUAAAGGGACUGCCAGCAGGUCAUCAGCAGGCAAAGCCUUGGAGAUAGUGUGUGACAGCAUCAGGUUCCAUUUUCAGCCUCCCCCCACCAGGCCGAGUGAGCUGGGCCAGCACUCACUCCACCUGUUUCCUCUUCUGGGAAACAAGCCUGCAGACCAUCGCCCCAUCUGUUGCUGGGAGGCUCAAAUGCACAAAGGUACAUCACAGCCCCGCAGCACCAUGCGUGGGCAGCCAAUGGAGGGCCACGGCCAUCACAUUUUGCUGUUUCUGUGCAUGUUGAACCUCCCUUGCCAAACUGCUCACCGACAGCUGAAGACCAAUGGCUUAUGGAUUCAGAAUCUGGGAUCAAAUGGAACCAGAUUCAAGUCCUGGAUCUUCUACUGAAGCAGCAAGUUCCUGAAAUCCUGCAAGCGUCAGUGGCCUAGCCCCAGGAAGGUUCCACUGAGCCAUCAGGUGCUACUGCCCAGAUCCUGAUAAGCAGCCUCUCCAGUCUCACCCACGCAGCCAGAACACAGAGCGCCAGCCAGGUAGCCUGAGGGGCCCCGUGAUUCGUGCCUUUGCCUCCACUCCAGCUGAGAAACAGCUACGCGUAGACAUGAACAGGCAGAACAGACAAAGCAGGCACAGGCAGAAAGGCGUAUAUUUGACCUGGCAACUUGCUUUAGGCCUUGGUAGGCCAAGCCGAGCUCUCCGUCUUCAUUCAAAUAUCCCCAGUCCUCAGUCUUGCUAGAAAUAAAGGACAGAAGAGAGGGCAUCCAGCACAGAGGGAAGAGUCAGGGAGGCAGAGCGCCCAGGAAAGUGAGGCCAUUUUGGCCAAGGUGUGGACGCCAAGGAAAAAAAAAAAAAGCUCAAGAACUCCCAGUUUCUCUCCUUCCCACCUCAUCACCAGCACCCGAGUGCCUAAGAACAUCACCUCUCCCGCAAGCUGGGUUUCAGAAGGGGGUCCGUACACUCUCACGGGGGCUCAUGGGUCACGAGGGGCUGGAGAACAUGUUGCAGAGGAGAGCAAAGGGUUGCUUCUGUCCCUGUAAAUCCUGUAACCGGCAAUGGUGCAGGCUGGGUAGAGGCAUUUCCUUGCCGUCACACUCCACCCUUCCCCCCACCCCUCCUCUGACCAGAAGGAUUCAGAAAAGGGAGAUUCAGGGGAGAUGGCAACAGAGCACGGAGAGGAGGCCCCGUGCACGGUGGAGCUGCAGAGGGGCUCCCGGGAUGCUAUGUCCGGCUGUACUGGGGCAUCCGGCUCAGUGACGACCAAGAAGAUGGCUCCCUAUUGUCUGCUUUUCAAUGUUGCUCUCCUCUCUGUCACUAAGGAUACAAAAAGCAUUAGCUAAUCCCACCUCCAGCCCUCAGUGCAGUUGUACAUAAUAAAACUGUUAAUAAAAACAGUGCCAAGCAGGA